CAAUCCUUUCCCCCCAUUUUACCGGCUUCUCCUCCUUCCCUCCAUCGCGGAAAAUGGCGUCUGUAGCAACCCCAUUCUUCUCCCACCUCCGCCCAUUUUCCGCCAAUGCCCGCCCGAAAAACAGAAAUUCACGAAAAUACCCCUCGAGAAACACAAACCCUAAUCUCAAAAUCCAAACUUCCAUAGGCAAUGAAGCCACAACGUACACCCGCCUUCCACCGAAAGACGAUUCCCUCCUACCGUUCGAUCUCCCUUCCAUCGAGAUCAAGCUCUCAGAAUCCUCCACGUCAGCACCGCAGGCCCCCACAAAAAUCUCAGAUCAAAGCCAAUCUAUUUCGGAUUCUCAUGUCGAUGAUUACGACGAUGACGAGGAAGUGUUGGGAUUUGAGUAUGAAGAAUCAGAAAACGUUUUCGAAGGUGGAGAUUUUGCGGAGGAAGAUGAAGAAGAAGGAGAGGAGAAGGAGAAGGGGGUCCCGGCAGUGAUGCGGUGCUUCGAUCGUGCGAAGAUCUACGUUAAGGCCGGGGAUGGAGGUAAUGGCGUUGUGGCGUUCCGCCGCGAGAAGUACGUGCCGUUUGGCGGCCCCUCGGGCGGGGAUGGAGGGCGGGGCGGGAAUGUGUAUGUUGAGGUCGAAGGAUCGAUGAAUUCGUUGCUUCCAUUCCGGAAGAACAUACAUUUUAGAGCGGGCCGGGGGAGCCAUGGGCAGGGGCGGAAGCAGGCUGGAGCGAAAGGUGAGGAUGUGGUUGUUAAGGUGGCGCCGGGGACAGUGAUUAGGGAGUCGAGGAGAGGAGAGGAAGAAGGGGAGGUGCUGAUGGAGUUGCUGUGGCCCGGGCAGCGGGCUAUGCUGCUGCCCGGUGGGAGGGGCGGGAGGGGGAAUGCUUCAUUCAAGUCAGGGACAAAUAAGGUGCCGAAGAUUGCAGAGAAAGGAGAAGAAGGGGCAGAAAUGUGGUUGGAUUUGGAGCUAAAGCUGGUUGCAGAUGUUGGGAUAGUUGGUGCUCCAAAUGCCGGAAAGAGCACCCUUCUCAGUGCUAUAAGUGCAGCUCAGCCCACAAUAGCAAAUUAUCCCUUCACAACUUUAUUACCAAAUUUAGGUGUAGUUUCAUUCGACUAUGAUGCUACAAUGGUUGUAGCAGAUCUUCCAGGUUUGCUUGAAGGUGCUCACCGAGGUUUUGGUUUAGGCCAUGAAUUUCUACGUCACACUGAAAGAUGUUCUGUCCUGGUUCAUGUUGUUGAUGGCUCAGGGCAGCAACCAGAAUACGAGUUUGAUGCAGUUCGUCUGGAGCUGGAAUUAUUUAGCCCAGAGAUGACAGAAAAACCUUUCAUAGUUGCAUAUAACAAGAUGGAUCUUCCAGAGGCAUCUGAGAAAUGGGCUUCAUUUGAGGAAUAUUUACAGGAUCGUGGUAUCCAUCCAUUUUGUAUGAGUGCAAUGACCAGGCAGGGAACUCAUGACGUGAUUUGUGCUGCCUAUGAACUUCUCCGAAAAAAAAUGGAAGUGAAGGAGGAACCUGCAGGUUGGACAGAUCCAGUGAAUCUGAAUCAUGUUGCGGAGACGAUACAGAAGCAGCGAAGUGCUUCCAUGAGUGACUUUGAAAUCUCUCAUGAUAGCAGCUCUAAUACGUGGCAUGUAGUUGGAGCCGGGAUACAACGCUUUGUUCAAAUGACCAAUUGGCAGUAUACAGAAUCUCUAAGAAGGUUCCAGCAUGUUUUAGAUGCAUGUGGUGUGAACAAAUCUCUCAUUAAACUUGGAGUCAAGGAAGGUGACACAGUGAUUGUGGGUGAGAUUGAGAUGGUGUGGAGCAAUGCUGCCAACAAAUUUGGCCCUGCGAACAUGAAAAAGGGAUCAGGAUCCAUCAAAUGGCCUCAGUGGGAGUAGCACAAGAAUAUUUGUGGCAGUUAUAAUUGCUGAAUCCUCACUCAGCAAACUCUACUUUCAUUGAGACUGGGGACCCAUUAAUCCGUACAUGUUCAUUGAAAUAAUCAAUUUAUCAGAGGGGAAUGAAACACCACAGCGGCAUUUGAUGGUUAGUAAUAAUUCUGUUUCCUUUUUCUUUUUGGUUGCUCUGCUAGUGUAUUAUUGAUUCUUCGAAUGGGAGCUAGUCUGUGUUUGGAUGCACCACCGGCUUGAAUUGCAAUCAUUGGCCCAAUGAACUGAAAAUGAUCAUAUUUUUUUUGGAAUGAUGCUGGAAAUGAUCAUAUUGCAACUACCUUACCAUUCAUAUCGAGGAACUGGACUCCAAUCAUGGUUAAAAGACUUUGGUGAUUCGGAUCUACUCGUUUGGCCCUGUGUCGAUUUGCGACUGGCUGGAGUUGGGGCUGAAUUGUCCGGACUCAAGGGUGACCGUGGCGUCGAACUGGAUUGGCUCCCACCAAGUCCUAGUUACACCUGACUCAGAUGAGUCCUAAAACCAUGGCUCCAAUUUGUUGUUAUCUUACUUUCAAGUUGGAACUGAAAGGAAUGUAACUGCAAUUUGAGGGGGAACACGUUUAAAAAGAAAAAAAAAAGCUGCAAGUUUGAUGACUACUUCCUCGCUAUGAAUAGCAACGUAAGUAUAUGAUUUGGGCUGCUUCUUUCCAUUGAGCUAAUUACUACAAUUCAAUUGGGUAAUGCAUCCAAAUACCGCUCUUGUUUCUUUGUCAUGGAUUUCAACAGCUGAACUCCUUAGGAAUGGUUAGCUGUCUGGGCCUGAAUCUCUAAAUCUUUUGAUUUGAAGCAAUUGAAGGAGGUGAAGACGAGGCAUUGACUGGUCAGAACAUUCCCAGCAAUUCAUGGGCAGAUUGCGCAAGACGCGUGAUAAAAGGCAGAAGGAAACUGCCUAAAAUAUGAAAGGCUCGCUCUAUUUUCAGUCUUGCCUUGUCAUUAAUACAAUUUUCUUAUUACUAGUAAAAAUAGAAGCUGGUCAUAUUACACAAUAUUGCUUCUAGAAAUUCAUCCUGCCCAGUAAAAAACCCUCUAAAUCAGGGUUACCCUAAUGUUGUUCUUCUCCACUGUCGAGUCCGAGAGUCGAGUUACUGAGUUCGCCCAACUAGCCUGUACAUUGGAUGUGGUCCUCAGAUCAAACUACCUGGUUCUAAUCUGAGCUCUCCAGCUGUUUCUAAUUUAAGUUGUAAUAAGCAUUGGAUUGUCUUAUUAA